UCGGGAAUUUUGGACAAUGGGCGCAAGCCUGAUCCAGCCAUGCCGCGUGCAGGAUGACGGUCCUAUGGAUUGUAAACUGCUUUUUGUACAGGAAGAAACAGUUCUACGUGUAGAACCUUGACGGUACUGUAAGAAUAAGGAUCGGCUAACUCCGUGCCAGCAGCCGCGGUAAUACGGAGGAUCCAAGCGUUAUCCGGAAUCAUUGGGUUUAAAGGGUCCGUAGGCGGUUAGAUAAGUCAGUGGUGAAAGCCCAUCGCUCAACGGUGGAACGGCCAUUGAUACUGUCUGACUUGAAUUAUUGGGAAGUAACUAGAAUAUGUAGUGUAGCGGUGAAAUGCUUAGAGAUUACAUGGAAUACCAAUUGCGAAGGCAGGUUACUACUAAUGGAUUGACGCUGAUGGACGAAAGCGUGGGUAGCGAACAGGAUUAGAUACCCUUGUAGUCCCUGAGCGGGCUGGCAAGGCGCAU
rnacentral:rRNA from 1 species